rnacentral:tRNA from 1 species
GCCCUUGUAGCUCAACGGAUUAGAGCGGUCCCGUCCUAAGGGAAAGGCUGGGGGUUCGAUUCCCUCCAAGGGCA